rnacentral:rRNA from 1 species
UUGACCUCGGAUCAGGUAGGACUACCCGCUGAACUUAAGCAUAUCAAUAAGCGGAGGAAAAGAAACCAACAGGGAUUGCCCCAGUAACGGCGAGUGAAGCGGCAACAGCUCAGAUUUGGAAUCUGGCCCCCAGGGCCCGAGUUGUAAUCUGGAGAGGAUGCUUCUGGCGCGGCGCCUUCCGAGUUCCCUGGAACGGGACGCCGGAGAGGGUGAGAGCCCCGUACGGUCGGACGCCCAGCCUGUGUGAAGCUCCUUCGACGAGUCGAGUAGUUUGGGAAUGCUGCUCAAAAUGGGAGGUAAAUUUCUUCUAAAGCUAAAUAUUGGCCAGAGACCGAUAGCGCACAAGUAGAGUGAUCGAAAGAUGAAAAGCACUUUGAAAAGAGGGUCAAACAGUACGUGAAAUUGUUGAAAGGGAAGCGCCCGUGGCCAGACUUGCGCCCGGCGGUACCACCCGGCGCCACAGCGCCGGGGCAUUCCGCCGGGCGCAGGCCAGCAUCGGUUUUCCCAGGGGGACAAAGGUGGCGGGAACGUAGCUCCUCCGGGAGUGUUAUAGCCCGCCGCGCCAUGCCCCUGGGGGGACCGAGGACCGCGCCUUGUGCAAGGAUGCUGGCGUAAUGGCCACCGGCGACCCGU